AUUGGCUCCUCGGGUGAAUGGUUGCCAGGAGACGAGUAAAUCUCCCCCCCCCAGGGAAGGGGCGGAGGGCGCCAAGGAGGUAGCACUGCGCAGGCGCAAUAGAGAAGGGCUGUGUCGAAGCUGCCUUUUCGCUUCGGAGUCUCUUGGACACCUUCCUUUCUACUUUCCUCUACAUUUUCUUCUGCAGAAUAUACCUGUCGUAUAACUUUUCCCUAUCGCUGCUUUCCCCGUCUCUGUCCUCCUGUCUCGAAGGCCAUUUGUUUUGGGUUUCUCCGGGGGUUGUCGAGCUGGUUCUCCCCAGGUCCAGGAGCGGAGAGUGAGAUGCCCACUCAGAGGGCGUUUAUUUGUGAAGGCGGAAAAAGGCAAGGCUUCUGGGUACUGGGAACCUUUCUGAUUACCCAAGGAAAUUGGCUGAAGGUGAAGACGUAGUCUUGGAGAAAAGGCGCAGUUGGUUCGCUGGCCACAGGGACCACCUGUGUGCAGUUAGUGCGACUGCAGGCUGCAGGGAAUCUAUCACCAAUCCUGGGAACCGCUACUGCUUUAGCCUACUCAGGAUACCACAGGACUUGGUCGUGUGAAUUACAGCCCAAGAAAGUUCAAGAAUGGCUCAAGAUUCCAUCAAUUAGAAGCAACAGGGUCUGGCCUUGCUCGUGCCUUAGUCUGAAUCAAAUCUGAGCGCUGACAUUCCAAAAGCUAGCAUCAUACAAGUCCAGUGUAAUGAUGAUCUGGCACCCACGGUGAAGUGAGCUCAUGUUCUAGAAAUCAUCAUGAUGCAUGCUUAGCAGAGGUCUAUGAAAUGCUUCACAGAUAGAAGAGCCUGAACAACAUCUGUGAUAGAAACCACCAUCGGGGUCCAUUCCACACAGUGUUCAUCCACACACAUCUCAGCCCGUAGACAGGGAGCUCUGGAAGGACGGGGUACUUCAGUCGUAACUGAAGCCACCCAAGUGGGCAGAGGCUUCUACUGCUGCUUCCUAUCAUGUGUCUGGUCAGAAGCAUUAUCAAAGAGUAAGAAGGGGUUUAAUUGGAUCAUGGACCCAACUCCAGUGCAGUCACCUCUACCCCCACUCAUUAUAGCUGAGUCAUGCUCAGUGCCUAUAGACUUGAUUACCUCAGGCUUCCCAGCUACACUAGCCUGAGAAAGAACAGCUGCCCCAGCCCCCACCAAAAAGCUGAGUGACUACCCUAAGAGCCCAGCCACAGGUCACAGUAUUCCCAAGACCUAGCUCAUACACUUGGGAAUUUUCAUUAUAUAUAGAAUUUUCGUGCCUAGGGCUGGGAAUUUAGCUCAGUGGCAUAAGCACCUGUCAGGCACGUGCAAGGUCAUGAGUUCGAUCCCCAGUACCAAAAAAAAAGAAAAGAAUUUUUGUGCCUAAAUCACCAAAUAUGAAUUCCUCUAAGCUUCCAAUUUAUACAUUAUUAUUUUAUUAAUAAUGUUAAUUACAAAAGAGAGUUAUUACUAGUUUCCUGAAGAUUGACUAUGUGUUAAACAUUGUAUUAUACCUUCUGUAUGCAUUACCUUAAGGAAUCAUCACAACAAUAAAGACCAUUGUCAUUCCUGUAUGAUCAACAAGGAAA